GCGUAGAUAUAUGGANGAACACCAGUGGCGAAAGCGGCUCUNUGGUCUGUCACUGACGCUGAGGCUCGAAAGCGUGGGUAGCGAACAGGAUUAGAUACCCUGGUAGUCCACGCCGUAAACGAUGAGUGCUAGGUGUUAGGCCCUUUCCGGGGCUUAGUGCCGGAGCUAACGCAAUAAGCACUCCGCCUGGGGAGUACGACCGCAAGGUUGAAACUCAAAGGAAUAGACGGGGGCCCGCACAAGCGGUGGAGCAUGUGGUUUAAUUCGAAGCAACGCGAAGAACCUUACCAGGUCUUGACAUCCCGAUGCUAUUCUUAGAGAUAGGAAGUUACUUCGGUACAUCGGAGACAGGUGGUGCAUGGUUGUCGUCAGCUCGUGUCGUGAGAUGUUGGGUUAAGUCCCGCAACGAGCGCAACCCUUAUUGUUAGUUGCCAUCAUUAAGUUGGGCACUCUAGCGAGACUGCCGGUAAUAAACCGGAGGAAGGUGGGGAUGACGUCAAAUCAUCAUGCCCCUUAUGACCUGGGCUACACACGUGCUACAAUGGUCGGUACAACGAGUUGCGAGCCGGUGACGGCAAGCUAAUCUCUGAAAGCCGAUCUCAGUUCGGAUUGGAGGCUGCAACUCGCCUCCAUGAAGUCGGAAUCGCUAGUAAUCGCGGAUCAGCACGCCGCGGUGAAUACGUUCCCGGGCCUUGUACACACCGCCCGUC
rnacentral:rRNA from 1 species